AUCGAGUUUCCAAGUCACGAGAAACUCCUACGAAAGCUCUAAACGAACAGAUCUGAAAAUUAAAAACAAAGAACAAGAUUAAACUAAUCAGAUCUGAAAUUAAAUCCCCAAAUUCAAUUAAAUGAGCAGCAAGGAACAAAGAACGAAUGAAUAAAUGUAUUCGGAGUUCAAGAAGAUGAAAUCGAACUCCAAUAGUGAAAUC
rnacentral:lncRNA from 1 species